AGAAAGUUAGUCUAACCAAGACAGUUGAUUUCGACUCAACAAAUUAUAGCCAUAAAUCUAUAACUUUCUU
rnacentral:tRNA from 2 species